UCAGCUGUUCCAAACACAGGCUUUCUGUAGCAACUCUUGAUUACUCAAACAGUUGAUAGCGUCUCGCUUCCACAGUUACGGCUGCGGAGUAUGUCGUGAUGGGUGGAAUAAUGUCACGCUGUUUAAGCGAUCAGGCUUUGCUGAUCUAGGUGGUGUUGCUAUAGAGUAGCAUCCUGACUGGUAAAGACAAAGACAAAGCUUGGCUGCGCGUGGCCACACCAAGAAGAAGAAGAGGUACUGGCGCGCUGGCACUGGAACGGGGUGGGAGGCUCGUCUACUCUGGUAGCUGGUCUGCCACUGCUCACGACGCCUGCAGGCAACGGGUCAUUAGGAGAGGACCAGUAAGGAGAGGCCACCAGGAGGAGUGUUAUGCCUUACGCGCCAUUCUCAAACGUGCCAUUCUCCCCUGUCUUCGGACGCGACAUUGGGCCAGGCGUGAUCAACUCUCCGCCAGCACCUCGCCCGGAACCGUUGGACCUCGAAGAGAUAGACGGGAGAUUAUUGGUCUUCGAACGUCGUCAAAAUAGACGUUACGCGAACGCUGAACGUAUAUUUCGGGAGGAAAUGACCCGGAUUCGCCAUAAAGUCAAUGAAAUGUAUCGAAACGGGAAAUUUAGGUCCCGCGAAGACAUGCUGAUUUGCAAGACGCAGCGUGAAACAAUAUCGAAGAGGCGACAUCAAAAGCGCAAGGAAGCCAUAAGAAAAUUUUGGCUUAGAAAAAUUGCGUGCAUCUCCCAACAAUAGGCGCUUCCUGGAGUAGACCGGACACCCGUUGGUUUGAUACGCUCCCAUCUUACUGGCUGGAGCUGAAUAAAAUUCUUUAUUACAACCUC